rnacentral:rRNA from 1 species
UUCCUUGGUAAACUAUUGCGCCAACCAGGACUUUUAAUCCAACAUCGAGGUCACAAAAUUUUUUAAUGAUAAGAACUCUUAAAAAAAAUUAUGCUGUUAUCCCUACAGUAACUUAUUCCUCCUUAAAAAUUUCUCGAUUCUACAAGACUGGUAAGCCACAAUAUCAAAGAAAAAUUAAUUUCCCAACUGCCCCAGUUAAACAAUUUAGUUUCUGAUUUGAAGACAGGAACUAAUUGUAAAGCUUGAUAGGGUCUUCUCGUCCCCAAAAAAAAUUUUAGCUUUUUUACUAAAUUAUAAAAUUCAAAAUAUUUAAAUAAGACAAAAACAUUUAGUGAGACCCUUCAUUCCAGCCCUAAAUUAAAAGACUA